UGCACUGUGUGGUAUCUGCACCCUGCAAUAUUGUUGGGCUGUUCAAAAGACAGUGCUAUAGAAACUCAGUAUCUGGCAUCGUUGGUUUCAUGCUUAUUAUGCAUGUUCAACCUGGUAUUUCUAUUGAUACAAGC
rnacentral:snoRNA from 1 species